CCUACGGGAGGCAGCAGUGAGGAAUAUUGGUCAAUGGCCGUAAGGCUGAACCAGCCAAGUCGCGUGAAGGAAGAAGGAUCUAUGGUUUGUAAACUUCUUUUAUAGGGGAAUAAAGGUAUCCACGUGUGGAUAUUUGCAUUUACCCUAUGAAUAAGCAUCGGCUAACUCCGUGCCAGCAGCCGCGGUAAUACGGAGGAUGCGAGCGUUAUCCGGAUUUAUUGGGUUUAAAGGGUGCGUAGGUUGUUUUUUAAGUCAGCGGUGAAAGUUUGUGGCUCAACCAUAAAAUUGCCGUUGAAACUGGAAGACGUGAGUGUGUUUGAGGUAGGCGGAAUGCGUGGUGUAGCGGUGAAAUGCAUAGAUAUCACGCAGAACUCCGAUUGCGAAGGCAGCUUACUAAGCCAUAACUGACACUGAAGCACGAAAGCGUGGGGAUCAAACAGGAUUAGAUACCCCAGUAGUC
rnacentral:rRNA from 1 species